UACGUAGGGAGCGAGCGUUGUCCGGAAUUAUUGGGCGUAAAGAGCUCGUAGGCGGUGUGUCGCGUCGGCCGUGAAAACCUGCAGCUUAACUGUGGGCUUGCGGUCGAUACGGGCAUCACUGGAGUUCGGCAGGGGAGACUGGAAUUCCUGGUGUAGCGGUGAAAUGCGCAGAUAUCAGGAGGAACACCGGUGGCGAAGGCGGGUCUCUGGGCCGAUACUGACGCUGGAGGAG
rnacentral:rRNA from 1 species